AUUGCUUCUUGGCCUUUUGGGGAAGAUCAAGUGUAGUAUUUGUUCUUAUCAGUUUAACAAGGGACUUAGAGCAAGAAACUGAAUGUUUCUUUAUAAAGGCUUUAAGAAUCUAGGGUUUGAAGGCAACACACU
ensembl:snRNA U2 U2 spliceosomal RNA